CUACGGGUUGCUCCAGUGAGGAAUAUUGCACAAUGGGGGGAACCCUGAUGCAGCAACGCCGCGUGGAGGAUGACGCAUUUCGGUGUGUAAACUCCUUUUAUAUGUCAAGAAAAUGACGGUAGCAUAUGAAUAAGCACCGGCUAACUCCGUGCCAGCAGCCGCGGUAAUACGGAGGGUGCAAGCGUUACUCGGAAUCACUGGGCGUAAAGGACGCGUAGGCGGGUUGAAAAGUCAGGUGUGAAAGCCUACAGCUUAACUGUAGAACUGCACUUGAAACUCUCAAUCUAGAGUAUGGGAGGGGCAGAUGGAAUUAGUGGUGUAGGGGUAAAAUCCGUAGAUAUCACUAGGAAUACCUAAAGCGAAGGCGAUCUGCUGGAACAUUACUGACGCUAAGGCGUGAAAGCGUGGGGAGCAAACAGGAUUAGAUACCCGUGUAGUC
rnacentral:rRNA from 1 species